CUCUGGACAGGUUUUGAUAAAUCUCCCCCAAUAUGUGCAAUAUGAACAAUAAUGGUGUGAGGAAAGAACCGGACAAAAAAGGGAGUGUGCAAAAAUAAGUUGUGUGAAGCAAAAGUGAAAGGAAAUAAUAGUGAAUGUGUUAUGUAUAUAUCUGUAUAAAUUAUACAUCCAAAUACUGCAAAGUGAAAAAGGCCACAAAGUGAAGAAUGGUGCAAAAAGAAAAAAAGAAAAACAGGAUAUUGGAGUGAUAAUGAGAACGUGAGUGUUGUAGUGAAUGAGCAUAAGGGUACUCUACUGGCCAGAGGAUUCCCCUGAAGCAUAGGUGAAACAUGUAUAGAGGCAGAGUUACCAUGUAUAGAUUGUGCUUUAUUGUCCAGUUUCUUCUUCAAAACACUUCCCUCCUGAACGCCAUUCAACUUUUUGAACCUUAUUUUAACCGUGGACUGUGAUAUCUCUAUGGUGGAAGGAGCUUAAGAUAAAGCGCUGGCUCUUGCGUGAAAACAUCUCCAGUUAAUUAGCUCUUGCAGUCUGCAAAGAGGGAUAUUAUGUACAGUGCAUCUGAUAGAAGAGCAACUCUUAUUUGCUUUUACAGACACAGAAACUUUAACACAUUGUUGUCACCGAAUGAUAUGUCACUUCAUCUGUAUUUCAGUUUGCAUUACAGCAUACGGUAUAACACUUUUGGCCUUAUUUUACAAAGAUGACCAUUUGUAACUGGAGUGGAUAAGCAGGAGCUAGGACACUGCAUCACAACCAUGAUCUGGCAGAUCUAUCAGAUCUUACCUUUUCUAUGAAAAAGAUUGGAA